rnacentral:rRNA from 1 species
CGGUUGAUCCUGCCGGACCCUACCGCUAUCGGGAUAGGACUAAGACAUGCUAGUCGUGCGCCUCCCAACAUUAGUCUUGAGGAGACGCGGCAGACGGCUCAGUAACACGUAGUCAACCUGCCCUUGGGACAGGGAUAACCCCGGGAAACUGGGGUUAAUCCCUGAUAGGUGAGGACUCCUGGAAUGGUUCCUCACUGAAAAGACGUUGGAAUCAUGCUUCCAACGUCGCCUAAGGAUGGGACCACGGCCGAUCAGGUUGUUGGUGAGGUAACGGCUCACCAAACCUUUAACCGGUACGGGCCGCGGGAGCGGUAGCCCGGAGAUGGACACUGAGACAAGGGUCCAGGCCCUACGGGGCGCAGCAGUCGCGAAAACUCCGCAAUACACGAAAGUGUGACGGGGCUAUCCCGAGUGCCAUCCGCUGAGGAUGGCUUUUCUCCAGUGUAAGGAGCUGAAGGAAUAAGGAGAGGGCAAGUCUGGUGUCAGCCGCCGCGGUAACACCAGCUCUCCGAGUGGUAGGGAUGUUUAUUGGGCCUAAAGCGUCCGUAGCCGGCCUAGCAAGUCCCCCGUUAAAUCCAGCGAUUCAAUCGUUGGACUGCGGGGGAUACUGCUAGGCUAGGAGGCGGGAGAGGCCGACGGUACUCCCGGAGUAGGGGUGAAAUCCUAUAAUUCCGGGAGGACCACCAGUGGCGAAGGCUGUCGGCUAGAACGCGCUCGACGGUGAGGGACGAAAGCUGGGGGAGCGAACCGGAUUAGAUACCCGGGUAGCCCCAGCUGUAAACGAUGCGGGCUAGGUGUUAGGGUGGCUACGAGCCAUUCUAGUGCCGCAGCGAAGGCAUUAAGCCCGCCGCCUGGGAAGUACGGUCGCAAGGCUGAAACUUAAAGGAAUUGGCGGGGGAGCAC